GCGCCCCUUGCCGCCCCUCAGGCGCGCGCGGGGCGGCUCCUGAGGGAAGGUGGGGGCAGGCGCUGGUCCUCCUUUAUUUUAACCUCUUUUCCAGGAGUUUCUAGACUGCAGCAAAGUGCAGAUGACUUGAGAGUGAAAAUUUUUGUUGCUUCUGAAAGUAAUAUUUUAUGAGCUACAGUUUUAUCAGUGCUGCGUGCUCUUCCUUCAGCACAUUAUCCAUCUUAUGUGGAGCUGCAGAUGGAGCCAGAAUCUGCUGCUGCUUCCCACACAAUCCAGUGGCACCAGUGUCCCUGCCCUGUCCAGCCACCUUUGGGCAGGAAUGAAGGACCUGCUGGAGGUGGAUCUUCACCGGGGUGGGACAAGUGAGGAUGUGAGCUGAAGGACAUGAGGCUGCAAAGCACCAGUAAGAGAAGAUAACCAUGAAAUCUCUGGAGAUGGGAAUGCCACGGUUUCAGGGCCUUGUUUCUGUAGCUGCUCCAAGUCAGACUACUCAAAGUGAACCAGGAUUGGAUCCAGCACCCUGCAGGAUCAGACACUGAACCAUCUGGAACAUCCACCUCCAAACCUGGAGCUGCAAACCCACUCCUGCAGCCAGCAACGCUGCAAGUCCAGCAGGUUCCCACAUGAGCUCACUUGACUUGCAAAGGUUUGGAGCUGAAGCAGUUUUUGGUGCCUGGGAGCAGCCCAGAGAAGGGGCAGCAGAGGAUCCAAAGCUGGUAAGGAAUACAGAUCUAUAUGGAAAUGACUAAGAAGAAAGGGAAUUAUGAAAGUUCAGUGAGCACUGAAUGAAAGCAAAAUGAAAACUGGAUGUCACCAAGAAAGAAAAAUGUCACCAUUUGAAUUCAGGAGGAGAAAAGCACCAAGGGAUGCAAAAUGAAGGAGUUGGCACUCUAUCAGAGAUGUCCAGACCCUGCAACAGCAGUCCCAGAGUCACUGGACAAAGGCUUUGGUGUUUGCCUCAUGCAGAGUGUGCAGUGCUGGACCCUGGAUUAAAGAUUACACUUGGCACAGGGAGUCCCUCCAUCCCAGGAACUGUCCCAGAUGGGUUGUUCAUUUCACCCUGCACAUCUCCCAUCAGAGCAGGGCUGAUCCUGCCCAAGCUGACCCAGAGAACUGAGCUCAUGUCUGUUUGCCUGCUUGGGAAAGCCAGGAGAAAACAUUCCAAAGAAAAUCUGCCCAGACUAAAGGGAAGUUGUUCAAAGCAUGGGAGUCUCCAGGACUGAGCAGAAGAGGAUCUGUGCAGCCAAAAUAAAUGUGAGGAAUAGCAGGAAGGUUCCUGUGCUGCCUCACACAACUGGCUCAGCCACACUCUGGCUUUCCUUCACCACUGGAAAAGAAGCAGGUUAUUUUGCUUUCUCACAGUGAAGCAAACCAAGACUUUUCCAGAAAGAUCAGUAAGAUCUCUACCUUUAUAAAACAUGCAGUGUGGGAGCAGCUUUCAGUCUGCCUUUUUUCCCCCAGAUUCCAUCACAAAAUGUGUAAACAGCCAGAAGAAAAUAAAUGUUCUCAGCCGUACAAUGGACAAUUCAAAGACAGGCUAUUGUCUUCAGCCAAGCACAGCCUUAAACCUGUGUGAACGAGAGGCAAAGCUUGUCCCGAGUGUGUAAACAUGAAAAUAACUCAGACAUGAUCCAUUUCCAGAGAAAAAAUGUGGCAGGCCAAAAGGUUACCUGAUUCUCUCUGCUUUACACUGUGUAAUAGCUUAAAUUGUGUUUUAAAGGUCCUCAGGCUGACAUCAUUGUUUACAUUGACUUGAAUCAUUCUUUAAUUGUAACAAACCCCUUCCAAGCAGCCCAGCUCGGUGCUGCUGUGUCAUGCAGAGAGCUGACACCACUGCCUUGCCUCAUCCACAUCCAGAAAGAGCUGGGGAGAGAGGUCUUGUGUCAGAAACAGAGCUGGGAAAAGAGACCUUGCCUCAGAAAGAGCUGGGAAAAGAGACCUUGCCUCAGAAAAAAGUUGGGAAAAAAGACCUUGCCUCAGAAAGAGCUGGGAAAAGCAUUUCUCCCCACACCUGUGUUCUGCAUUAUUCUUUCUCCUGAUGCCCCUCCUGGGUGAGGAAGCACAGCAGUGGAAGCUCCUGAAAUCCCUUCCUUUCCCUCUGUAAAUCAUUAUGA